GAAUUCAACUCCUACGGGAGGCAGCAGUGGGGAAUUUUGGACAAUGGGGGCAACCCUGAUCCAGCAAUGCCGCGUGAGUGAAGAAGGUCUUCGGAUUGUAAAGCGCUUUAAGUUGGGAGGAAGGGCAGUAAGCUAAUACCUUGCUGUUUUGACGUUACCGACAGAAUAAGCACCGGCUAACUCUGUGCCAGCAGCCGCGGUAAUACAGAGGGUGCAAGCGUUAAUCGGAAUUACUGGGCGUAAAGCGCGCGUAGGUGGGUUGUUAAGUUGGAUGUGAAAUCCCCGGGCUCAACCUGGGAACUGCAUUCAAAACUGACUGACUAGAGUAUGGUAGAGGGUGGUGGAAUUUCCUGUGUAGCGGUGAAAUGCGUAGAUAUAGGAAGGAACACCAGUGGCGAAGGCGACCACCUGGACUGAUACUGACACUGAGGUGCGAAAGCGUGGGGAGCAAACAGGAUUAGAAACCCGGGUAGUCCAGGCGUU
rnacentral:rRNA from 1 species